rnacentral:rRNA from 1 species
CAGCCAUCUUUAAAAAAGCGUUAAAGCUUAAUUUUAUAAUAUAUUAAUAUAAAACAUAAUUAUGAACCCACCUAAAUUACUGAAUGAUCUUAUUUUAUUUAUAAGACCCAUCAUGCUAGAACUAGUAACAAGAACACAACAUUCUCCUAAAUGUAAGCAUAAACCAAAAUGGAUGCCCCACUGGUAUUUAACGAAUAUGAAUUACUUACAGUAACAAAACAAGAAAAUCCUGUAUAAUCCACCGUUAACCUAACACUAGAACACUUCAGGAAAGAUUAAAAGAGAAAGAAGGAACUCGGCAAAUCUUAACCUCGCCUGUUUACCAAAAACAUCGCCUCUUGCUUAAUUAUAGGAGGUCAGGCCUGCCCGGUGAUAAAAUUAAACGGCCGCGGUAUCCUAACCGCGCGAAGGUAGCACAAUCACUUGUUCCUUAAAUAGGGACCUGUAUCAACGGCACAACGAAGGUUAUACUGUCUCCUCUCUCCAAUCAGUGAAACUGAUCUCCCUGUGAAAAAGCAGGAAUAAUUUUAUAAGACGAGAAGACCCCAUGGAGCUUCAAACCCACCGCAACUCAAACACUAAAUCCCAUUUACCCCUUAGAGACAUGCCCAUCGGUUUUAGGUUGGGGUGACCGAGGAGCAAAACAAAACCUCCUUAACGUAAAGACCUUAAUCUUCAUCCAAGAGCUACUGCUCUAAGAACUAGAACACUAACGCACACUGAUCCGAUAUUCGACCAAUGAACCAAGUUACCCUGGGGAUAACAGCGCAAUCUACUUAGAGAGUUCUUAUCGACAAGUGGGCUUAUGACCUCGAUGUUGGAUCAGGAUAUCCCAGUGGUGCAACCGCUACUAAUGGUUCGU